UCUCUCCCUCCCUCUCUCCCUCUCUCCCUCCCUCUCUCCCUACAGAGUUACAGUUCAUGGUCGACCACCACCUAUAUCAACAGCAGCAGCAGCAGGGUGGAGGUGAUGAGUGUUCCUCAGAGAGCUGUCUGUCCGACAGACCCAGCCCGGACGCUCUGCCCAACGGGGAGGAGGAGGAGGAGCUGGAGCUACCGGAGGACGAGGAGGCCUGGGGAACCGAGGACAAGGUCAUUGCAGAGGCCUUCGAGAAGCCGCGCUGCCAGAUGGAGGCAGAGUUUUCGCGGAACAGUCUAUCAGAAGCUACAGGGGGACAUGAGUGCCCCCUCUCCGAGGAGGAAGUGGGAUGCUCCGCCGUUCUCAUGGCAGCAACAUCAUCGUCACAACAACAACAACAACAACACGCACUAGCAGCUGCAGACACAACAGCUGCGUCCACAGCGAGUCCACUGGCAGAGAAGAACACGAAGACACCCAACCAGGCCAAACAAGACAAGUAGAACCGUAGAACCGUCUCCACAGCAACCUGGUAUGCAUCCUAAGUGGCAUCCUAUUCCCUAGCUAUGAAGUGUACUCCUUUUGAUCAGAGUAGUGCACUAUACAGGGAAUAGGGUGCCACUUGGAACGCAAACCUGACGUUCAAUAAGUAACUUAGACAGACAGACAGAAGACAGACAAUCACUGACCAUCCUUUUGACAGACAGACUUACGGCUGAAUUCAAUCUGUAUCACAGAGGUAUCGCAGAAGAUUCGCAUUAAAAUGCAAAUUCAUUAAAAUGCAAAUGUAUUCAAAUGCAAAUUCAUUCAAAUGCAAAUUCAUUCAUCAAAUUCAUUCAAAUACUACUUAAGAGUUUUUUGGGUAUCUGUACUGUACUUUACUAUAUAUAUUUUUGACAACUUUUACUUUUACUCCGCUACAUUCCUAAAGAAAAUCAUGUACUUUUUACUCCAUACAUUUUCCCUGACACCUAGAAGUACUCGUUAUGUUUUGAAUUGCUUAGCAGGACAGGAAAAUGGUCCGAUUUACACACUUAUCAAGAAAACAUCCCUGGUCAUCCCUACUGCCUCUGAUCUGGCGGACUCACUAAACACAAAUGCUUUGUUUGUAAAUUAUGUUUGAGUGUUGAAGUGUGCCCCUGGCUAUCUGUAAAAAUAUAUAUAUUAUUGUGCUGUCUGGUUAGCUUAAUAUAAGGAAUGUGAAAUUAUUUAUAUAUAUAAUAGCAAUUACAUUUACUUUUGAUACUUAAGUAUAUUUAAAACCAAAUACUUUUAGACUUUUACUUAAGUAGUAUUUUACUGGGUGACUUUCACUUUUACUUGAGUCAUUUUCUAUUAAGGUAUCUUUACUUCUACUCAAGUAUGACCAUUGGGUACUUUGUUCACCACUGUGUAAAGGUAAUUUCUGAUUGAGCCAACAUGUGCAGCUUUUACCGUGAAUGCAGUCUCUGCGACCACGGGAACAUUGCCUUUAAUUGUCAAUGGUUGUCACGCCUGCUCCCGCUCUCCCUCUCUGGCGCUCGACGGCGCCAGGCUCCCCAUCAUUACGCACACCUGUCACCAUCAUUACGCGCAUCAGCGCUCAUUGGACUCACCUGGACUCCAGCACUUUGUUGAUUGCCCCUCUGCAUCUGUCUGUUACUCAGUUUGUUCCCCAUGUCAGCAUUAUUCAUGUCAUUAUUUUUCCCUUCCAGACGAUGUCCUUGUUCUGUUUCAUGUCCGUUAUUUAUUAAGUGUUCCGCCCUGUACUUCUCGUCUCCCAGCGUCUGUCCUCACAAUGGUGCUAUAAAGCGGAUAUUCAUCGCUACAGAUGGAAUAGAACCCUUUCUGUAGAUAUGGAGCUAUCAGGGUAUCGGUCUGGCCGGGCCUUAUACCAUGCAGGUGGAAAUGGCAAUGUGGCUACUUUACAUUAGGUCCAAAAUCCUACAGUACCGGUCAAAAGUGGACACACCUACUCAUUCCAGUGUUUUUCUUUAAUUUUACUAUUUUCUAGACUGUAGAAUAAUAGUGAAGACAUCAAAACUAUGAAAUAACACACAAGGAAUCAUGUAGUAACCAAAACAAGUGUUAAAAAAAAUCAAAAUAUAUUUUAUAUUUGAGAUUCUUCAAAGUAGCCACCCGUUGCCUUGACAGCUUUGCACUCUCUUGGCAUUCUCUCAACCAGCUUCUCUUGGCAAACCCUGGAAUGAGUAAAACAUUCUCUAACAUGAAGUUCCAAACCGGGACAGGAGAUACGUAUUUGGCUAUAUUUCAUGCAAAGUGUUUUUUUGUUGUACACACAAACUGUAGCAGCCUACCACUCCCAUGUCUAAUAUGCCUCCUGCGUAAAACUCAUGAAUCAAAAUAUUGUUCAUUGUUAUUGUAAUUGUUAAUUGGUUUAUUAAUUGUUAAUUAAUAUAACUAAGAUAUUUCUAAGAUUGCUUUAAUGUUUUAGGACAUUCUGUCCUGGACUCUUGAAAAACAAGCAGUAGUCGUGGUUGGCUAACAGAGAUCCUAAACAACAACAACAUAACAGGAUGCCUAUUUUUAUGAGUCACGGGGCAGUCAGAAGCCGCCUCACAAAUGACACCCUAUUCCCUAUGUAGUGCACUACUUUUGACCAGGACCCAUAGGGCACUAGUAAAAAGUAGUGCACUAUAUAGGAAAUAGGGUGCCAUUUGGGAUGCGUGGAGGGAAUCGUCUCUGAUACAAUUUCGGAACUGAGAUCAGUCUCUGUCCAUGUGAAUCUCUGAAGUCUAAAAUGACAGAUAAGGGACCUUCCGUUGGACAGAAGGACUCUGGCUGAACUUUGACCUUCUAAACUAAAACAACAUUGACUACUCACAUACCACUCAUGCAUGGCACGACUUUUACCUCACACUCCCUUAGUACUGUGCUAAACCCAGUACAUACAUUAAAAGUACUGAACAAAAAAAACAGUGUAUGUACAAUAACAACAUCCAGAAACGUUCGUAACUUAUUUCAUCUUUGGUAAUUAUAUUUAUUUUCUACAGGAUUGAUCCCAUACUCUGAUGUGGCAUUAGGCCCAUGAUUGAGUGACAUUUUAAACAACAGAUGUAGAAUUUUAAUUUGAUCACCCUGUUGCAGGAGAUCUUUCUUGCAUUGCAGGACAUGUAAAACUUUGAGAUUUUAGACUUGAUUGUUCCUGUAGACUUGAUUGUAUCAAACCCUACCAAAAAGAAAUGGACAAUUAAUUAUAUUUAUCAUAAUUCACAUUUAUAAAACUGGCUUAAAUUAAGAUUCUACACCUGUAUUGAGCUGUCGACAGCUACUGUUCAGUGUCAUCAUGUCCUUUUGAUUAUAGACUGGGUCUUUAUUCCAUGUUAUAUAUGUAUAGUACACAGCAAAUGAAUCACGUGCAAAUUAAAGAUGUCUACAGAAAUGUCAUGUCUAUAGAGAGAUUGGUUUUCCAAUUAUUUAGCACUGAACACUUAAAUGAACACAUUGUUUAGCCAUUAUUGAUGGACACAUACAUUAUACUGCAUUUAUUUUAUUUUCUCAGUUAUAAACGAUGGUAUACAAAACAAAUCUAUAUCAGCGUUUUGGCUAAACUUUAUUGGUUUGAAUUGAUAAAGAUUACAAAGUGUAAUCUAAUGGCUCUAUUCAAUCUGUAUCUCGGAGAUUCAACGUUACAGCGUGAUUGAAAUGUAAAGGCAACGUUCCCAUGUUAGGGGAGGAUGCAUCCAGAUGCGAUGCAGAUUGAAUAGAGCCCUAAAAUUUGAUAUAUGAUACAAUAUAGUGUCGAUGUGAAAGAAGUGUCUGUUUUACUUUUAAAAAAAAACAACAUCCUAAUUAACUGUAAAAAUUGCUCUUAUUGCUCAACCAAUAGUAGGCCUUAAUACAAUAAGAACCACCAAUAGCAGGCCUUAAUACAGUAAGAACCACCAAUAGCAGGCCUUAAUACAGUAAGAACCACCAAUAGCAGGCCAAGAAGGUGUGGGUCCCAACUGGAACCCUAUUCCCUUCAAAGUAUACUAAUUUUGACCGGGACCCAUGAGGCUCUGGUCAAAAGUAGUGCACUAUAAAGGGAACAGGGUUCCAUAGGGUCUCUGGUCAAAAGUAGUGCACUAUAAAGGGAACAGGGUUCCAUAGGGUCUCUGGUCAAAAGUAGUGCACUAUAAAGGGAAUAGGGUUCCAUAGGG
rnacentral:lncRNA from 13 species